rnacentral:rRNA from 1 species
UACGUAGGGGGCUAGCGUUGUCCGGAAUCAUUGGGCGUAAAGCGCGUGUAGGCGGCCCGGUAAGUCCGCUGUGAAAGUCGGGGGCUCAACCCUCGGAUGCCGGUGGAUACUGUCGGGCUAGAGUCCGGAAGAGGAGAGUGGAAUUCCUGGUGUAGCGGUGAAAUGCGCAGAUAUCAGGAGGAACACCCGUGGCGAAAGCGGCUCUCUGGGACGGUACUGACGCUGAGACGCGAAAGCGUGGGGAGCGAACAGG